rnacentral:rRNA from 1 species
GAUGAACGCUGACAGAAUGCUUAACACAUCAGCAAUUGAUUGGUGGCGGACGGGUGAGUAACGCGUAAAGAACUUGCCUCACAGGUAGGGACAACAUUUGGAAACGAAUGCUAAUACCUAAUACUGUGAGAGAGCUUUGGGUCCCAUUAGCUAGUUGGAGAGGUAACGGCUCACCAAGGCGAUGAUGGGUAGCCGGCCUGAGAGGGUGAUCGGCCCAAAGGGGACCGAGACACGGCCGUUACGCCUACGGGAGGAUGCAGUGGGGAAUAAUGGACAAUGGACCAAAGUCUGAGCCAGCAAUUCUGUGGUAACGAUGAAUUUUUCGGAAUGUAAAGUGCUUUCAGUUGGGAAGCGGUACCAACAGAAGAAGUGACGGCUAAAUACGUGCCAGCAGCCGCGGUAAUUC